CGAGCGGUAGAAAAUAGCUUGCUAUUUUUGAGAGCGGCGCACGGGUGCGGAACACGUGUGCAACCUACCUUUAUCAGGGGGAUAGCCUUUCGAAAGGAAGAUUAAUACCCCAUAAUAUUUAGAAUGGCAUCAUUUUAAAUUGAAAACUCCGGUGGAUAGAGAUGGGCACGCGCAAGAUUAGAUAGUUGGUGAGGUAACGGCUCACCAAGUCAAUGAUCUUUAGGGGGCCUGAGAGGGUGAUCCCCCACACUGGUACUGAGACACGGACCAGACUCCUACGGGAGGCAGCAGUGAGGAAUAUUGGACAAUGGGUGAGAGCCUGAUCCAGCCAUCCCGCGUGAAGGACGACUGCCCUAUGGGUUGUAAACUUCUUUUGUACAGGGAUAAACCUAGAUACGUGUAUCUAGCUGAAGGUACUGUACGAAUAAGCACCGGCUAACUCCGUGCCAGCAGCCGCGGUAAUACGGAGGGUGCAAGCGUUAUCCGGAUUUAUUGGGUUUAAAGGGUCCGUAGGCGGACUUGUAAGUCAGUGGUGAAAUCUCAUAGCUUAACUAUGAAACUGCCAUUGAUACUGCAGGUCUUGAGUAAGGUAGAAGUAGCUGGAAUAAGUAGUGUAGCGGUGAAAUGCAUAGAUAUUACUUAGAACACCAAUUGCGAAGGCAGGUUACUAUGUCUUAACUGACGCUGAUGGACGAAAGCGUGGGGAGCGAACAGGAUUAGAUACCCUGGUAGUCCACGCCGUAAACGAUGCUAACUCGUUUUUGGGUUUUUCGGAUUCAGAGACUAAGCGAAAGUGAUAAGUUAGCCACCUGGGGAGUACGUUCGCAAGAAUGAAACUCAAAGGAAUUGACGGGGGCCCGCACAAGCGGUGGAUUAUGUGGUUUAAUUCGAUGAUACGCGAGGAACCUUACCAAGGCUUAAAUGGGAAUUGACAGGCUCAGAAAUGUGCUUUUCUUCGGACAAUUUUCAAGGUGCUGCAUGGUUGUCGUCAGCUCGUGCCGUGAGGUGUUAGGUUAAGUCCUGCAACGAGCGCAA
rnacentral:rRNA from 1 species